GGAAAGCAUAUAUCGAGGAAGGUAGCACUUUCAAGGUCUUUGGCUGAAAUCAGAUUUUUGUUCUUUUUUUAUUGAGAAAACUUUUGUUAAUUGUUACUUUUAAUGUUUUGCUAUGUACAAAAUUUGUUUUAAUGGCAUGGCAUUCCUUUUAUGUUCAUUUGAAUGCAAUAAUUUCGUUGGUAAUUUCAAAGUGUUUGCCAGGUCCAUUGUUGUUUUUGCCCCCAUGAUUAAUUAAUCUAUGCAUGGCUGCUUGAUAAGUACAUUCCAGUUUCA
rnacentral:misc_RNA from 1 species